rnacentral:rRNA from 1 species
UACGGAGGGUGCAAGCGUUGUCCGGAUUUAUUGGGUUUAAAGGGUGCGUAGGCGGCCCGUUAAGUCAGCGGUGAAAUCCCACGGCUCAACCGUGGAACUGCCGUUGAUACUGGCGGGCUUGAGUUCGGUCGAGGCGGGCGGAACUGGUGGUGUAGCGGUGAAAUGCUUAGAUACCACCAAGAACCCCGAUUGCGUAGGCAGCUCGCUGGGCCGAAACUGACGCUGAGGCACGAAAGCGUGGGGAGCGAACAGG